UUAACCCAUUUAACAACUCAACCCAUCAAAUUAAAUGAGUUAUGGGUUGACCCAACUCAUUUUGUUAAAUGAGUUGGAUCAACUCAUAACUCAUUUGACCCUAAACUCAUUUGAUUAUGAGU
rnacentral:pre_miRNA from 1 species